UGGUGUUUCCUGAGAGAAUGCCAGUUCUACUAAGGGUGAGAAUGGAGUUGUUUCAGAGCAGAACUCAUGGAAGACAUAUUACACGGCUGCUCAGCUCUUAACUGAACGUCUGACCAGUUUUGCUCCAAUGAAAUGGAUGUGGGAUUUACUGCAUCAAUACCAUGUGCCUCACAAACCCAGGAAAAAAUC